ACCAACUUCCUACCUGCUUAGCGGCAGCCGGAACUCACCGCAGCUGGAAUCAAGUGCUCUUUUCUGGGAAGAAAACGUGAUUUAGGUGAAUCCGUUGUCCGAACCGGGGAAAAGUAUACCGAGCUAAGUUCCCCCUUCUGGGGUUCGAACCUGGAGAUGGACCGGUACAGGUAUUUCAUUUUCAACCAGAAGAGCGUUCUGGUCCUCGGUAUCCUGCAGAUCGCCUGUGCGGGUCUUUGUGUGGUGUGUGGCUUCAUGGACGCUAUUUCCCGAAAGUACACCCCGCUGAGCGGCACCAGGGCCCCGGUGUGGGGAGGACUGAUCCUGGGCUCUCCGGGUGUCCUGGCACUGUUCGCCUCCCAAAA